AUUUGAAGUAAAAAGAUAAUUUCCUUUUCUUUUCUUUUUUUCUUUUUUUUGUUUUUUGUACUUUGCCCUUUCCUUUCUUUUUCUUCCCACGUUUUCUGUCCAUUUUCCCUUCUUUUUUCCAUUUUCCUUUUCCUCGUUCUUUCUUCUUCUUCUCCCUUCAAUUUUCUCUGCUCUGACCCGCCACAAGAUUAUCGUCCCGCCACCUUGAAUCAGCCAUCAGCCGUCAAGCCCAGUAACCUAAAGAUCUAAGCUAGGGCCAAAGACAGCUUAGAGGUAUCAUUAUUGGUUUUUAUUUGUUGGGUUGUUAUCUAUUUUGUUGGAAAAUAAUGUGAAAUUCAAAUUAGGUUAUAAAUUCAUUUAUUGGGUUUCUAUCGAUUCAUUUAUUGGGUUGCAAUGAAAUAUAUGAGAUCUACAGUAAAUUGAAGGUUCAAACUCCAUUGAAAAUGUUUUGGGUUCCAAAUUAUCAUAAUGUUUUGAGUCAAUUCAUUUAUUGGGUUGUAGUGGAAUAUCUGCGAUCUACAGUAAAGUGAAGGUUCAAACUCGAUUGAAAAUGUUAUGGUUUCCAAAUCAUCAUAAUGUUUUGUGUCCUGAACUUCUGAUUAAUAUUGUGCUUCAACUAAUUUAUGAGAUGGAGUCGUUGUUCUGACUUUGUUUUGUCUUUGUUCCGUGUAUCCACUUUUGGCUCUGGUUUCCAUUGAACCUUAUUCUACCACAUUAAUUGUAUAGUACGUACUAUAAAAUGCUUAUUCAACUGUCUUAAUUUAUUGCCUUAUCAAUCAGAACUCUGCAAUAAAGAAACUGUCUUAAUUCUCAUUCAGCCUGAAUCCCGCUGUUAGUUUUUACUUACAAAGAUACUAUGACCAAAUCUCUUCUUAAAGCAUGGUUUAAUCAGGGAAAUUAUAUGCAAAAAUUGACUUACUAGUACUGUUCUUGCCUCAGUACUUCACUUAGUUGAGGAUAAUAAAUUGAGUUUGAAAAGUGAAAGUUCAAUUAUCAAUUUUGUCUUGUUAAAUAAAGGGCGUGAUGAAUCUUUCUGUAAUUCCAUUGAUUUGACAUUAUUUGAAUACAAAAAGCUAAAGAAUUGCUUUAUAGUUGCAACUUAACCCUCUAUACAUGCCCCCCCCCUUUACAGUUAGGCCUAAACAAUUGGAGGCCAGAGUCAACCUACUACUGUUGGUUUUUCGAAAGUGCUUAUUUCUUGUUACAUGAAUGAGUAAUAAAAAAAUUAUUAAGCAAAACUAUAUUGCAAAUAAACAAAUAAUUAGGCUUGCCUGAGUUAGUUAAUAAGGAUCACGCGGUCAAUAGAACUUCGAGAAGUCAAGCUAAAGUUGAAGAACUAUGGGAAUCUGUUUAGUCUUGAGGCAUCACUCACGUCGAUCUCAUGCAUUACCUUAUUUUAACCUGCUUGAGUCUUAUUUUAUUAAAGUGUUAGAUCCAUGUAGAAAUUCAUAUAUGGCUUUUCAUUUAAUCUAGUUAGAUUGACCAUUUAGUUAUUCCAUUAAGGCAUUGAUGCAAAAUUUUCAGCAAUUUGGGUUUGGUUUUAUACUAUUUAUUUAUUGUUCAUUUUUUUGCACUCUGUUUUUCCUCCCCAUAUUUUAAUUCCGAAUGAAGUUCUUCGAUCGGAAAUCUCUGUAGAAAAGAAUAGGGAUUUUACGAAAUGAACUAUUAUAGUUUCAAAUCCUCUUUGAAAUUGAAAAUAUAUUGCAAAAUUAGAAAAAAAAAAAAUAAGAUUUUUAAAUUGGGUGAACAGAUUUUAUUUAUUUUUAUCUGUCCCCUCUCCCUUCCCCCUCCAAUUUUUUUGGGUCUUAUUAUCAGUCUACCUACAUUUUUAAUCUUUACGAGGAAAACCACCGGAUUGGGAGGACUUUGUUGGGAUUAUUACUCUUCUGGUCAUUAACUCAACAAUCAAUUUCACAGAGGAGAACAAUGCUGAUAAUUCCUUUCCUUGUCUGCCAUUUGUUAUUGUUGAGCAGGGAGAAUUAAUUUUAGUUAAUUAUGAUUUGAAUUCAAAUAGUUGCUGGAGUUUGUGAUUUAAGUUAAUAUUGAUGUAUUGUUUCUCGUCCUUUUUGUUGGUUAGUUAUAUAUUUGGUUCCUGAUUCAUAAUUUUGUGAUCUUUGAAUACAUUUUGUUAUAUAUAUAUAUAUAUAUAUAUAUAUAUAUUUUUUUUUUUUUUUUUAAAAAAAAAAACUUGAUUUGCUCGAGGGACAAGGAAGACAAUAAAUUCUCAGCUAUGGCAUGCUUGUGCUGGUCCAUUGGUUUCCUGGUCUCGGGUUGGAAGUCUAGUGCACUAUUUGAUAAGGAGCACAAAUUUGGUUAAAAUCAGUUGCAUAUCUAACUCACGAGGAUGCAGAUAUGUAUUUUUUAGGUACAUAAUAAUAGAUACAGAACAUAUUUGCUAACUAUUUUUAAGUUUAAAUGUAAUUAUAUUUGGUGAAUGAUUUUUAUUUGUGUUUUUGAUGAAAUACUUUGGAUUCAAUGUUAUAUUGACAUGUCUUAAUUAAUUUAUUGUCUUUUUGUAUCUUUAUAUUAUUUUGAAUAAAGUAAUAUAAUUUAUUUUUUCCCUAUGAAUUAUUUCAUAAUAGCCCACAAAUAUUCUUUCCCUCCAAAAAAUUAUUUUUAGUGAAACACAGGGUUUAAUCCACAAAAUAAUUUGUAACAUGUUGUCACAAAUUUUUAAUUGCAGGGAAAAAUAUGUAUAUCUUAGCCCAUAGAUAUCCUUUUCACACAAUUUAUUUGUAGGGAAAAGUGAAACCUUUUUGUGGGCAAAAUUAACUUUAGCCGACAAAUUUUAAAAGGUUUCGUAGGAAAAAUUUUUAGCCUACAAAUUUUAAAAAUUUAUCGUCUUUUACCUAUCCCGUCGAUGUUUGCCCCACAAAUGUGUCUACAAAUUUAUUUCGUCCGCAAAAGUUUUUUCCUACAAAUAAAAACCUUUUACAAUUUUUUUUUUUUUUUUUUUGUAGGAAAAACAUAAAAUUCUUGUAAUCGAAAGUGUUCAAAAUUUAUGUUAAUAUAAUUAAGUACUUAUUAUCGUGGGCAAAUAUGACUACAAAUCCACAAGACACCUAGAAAAUGACUAAUAUACCAAAAGUAUGAUAUCAAGGACACAGUAGUGCCUUUGGAGAAAAAAUAAUUAAAAGUAAUAUUUACUGAUCAUUUAAUUGGUAAAUUAAGACUUUGGUAGGUUUAAUUUUGAUUGGUAUGCUAGCAUAAAAAAAUUUAUAAUGUGUUCCAUCACCAAACAAAAAUGUUUAAUAAAUUAUAUAUUUAAAUUAACUGAAACCCGUAUUUCUUAAUUACUUUCUCUGAAGGCAAGUUAUUGGUUAAUUAUCACGGCGGUCACUAAACUUCUAUCAUUGCUUCUCGUUAGUCACUGAACUUAUAUCCUAUUUAUAUAUUUCUGACAAUAUAAGAGUCUUAAAACUGGGUUUUUUCCCCCACUAAUUACGUUUAUUUUUCACAAAUACUCCAAAUAUUACACUUCUCAUAAUAACUUUUACAAAAAUAUAAUAUGUAUAUUACACUUUGUUAUACGAUUAAUUAUUAUAAUAUUUAUAACCUACUAUGUUAUAAAUGUAAAACACUUAGCAUACCAUGUUGUGCUUGAAAUAUACAUGUAACCAGGCCCGAUCCUGGGCCGAGGCGAAUGAGGCCUGCGCCUUAGGCCCAAGAUCUUAGGGGCCCUCAUUUUGGUCCUAAUUUUUUUUUUAGUUCAGUUGGCCCAAAUGAAAUGCCCAAUCCAAUAACUAAACCAAUCCCAACCCAACAAUCCAUUUACCCAUGAAUCCCAACCCAACAAUCCAUUUAUCCAAAUCAAAUCCAAUCCGUUUAACAAAAUUCCCAAAUCUGAAAAGUGAAAAUUCAUAUCAAAUGCCUUGCCUCCGACUUUCACGAGCGACUGUCACUCCACCGUCACUCCCCUCUCCACAGUAAUAAUGACACAGUCCGGUGAGUGAUGUGAGUCCACCGCGAAUCUACCUUGGCCCUUCUUCUGGCUUUUACUUCUACCGCCGUCUUCGCUGCUCGCCUCCGUAGCCUGCAGGUCCACUGUCCGCUCCGCACACCGCACUCCACAGGCCACAGAAAUCCCCUUCCCUCCGCUACACUGUCAGCUUGUAAUAAAUACAGCCCUUUUUUAAUUACUGAAUUUUACAAUUUUUGAAUUUUAUUUUUGUUUUCUCAUUCUAUUUUGGAAAAAUUUACGACUUACUGAAUUUAUUAUUAUUAUUAUUAUUUUACAAUAAUUCAAAAAGAAGAACCAGAAGCCUCUACGAAGCUUUGCUGAAAGUCUGAAAGUUAAAGAAGGUACUUUUCAUCUUUCUCUUUAUCUGAAAGCGAGUGUGAAGUGUGAACAGGCAUGAAUUGGUAUAUAUAAAAGAUAAUUUGCGUUUUCUUUUUCCAAUAUUAUGAUUGAUUGAUUAAUUGCAAGUUGCAACUAUGAACCAGUUACUAGUGAAUGAUUUUUGGGCGAAUGUAGAAUUGAUUAAUUUCUUUUUCCAUCUCAUCUGUGAAUAUGUUCUUAAUGGUCUCACUGUCUCAGGCAUGCAAUCAAAUUGUGUUGAUAAAUGUGGCUUUCUCAUGUUACAUUUAAUUAUAUGUUGAUCAUAGUUGAUGAAGAGAAGAUAAGAUUUCAUAACAUACAGUUUAUACUUGUGCAUGUGGAGGUGAGCUAGUGCUUGUCAGCCCUCUUUUGCUCUCGUUCUCCUUGUAAAUGUUUGUGGCUUUCAUGGAAAAUUCUUCUGUUGUGCUUUAAAAGAAGCUUGUGUUCGUGUUCGUGUUCGUGUCUGUGUGUGAGAAAUGGAAAGAGAUGGACCCGAAGGAGGUUUGUUUACUUGGUUCUGCAUUUUGGGUGAAAAACAGCACAAAGUUGAAGCUCUAAAGAUCAAAAGAACAAGUGACAGACUUAAUCAAGAAUGUUUCCGAUGGUUUUCUGAAGAAAAAAGAACAGAAUGAGAAUUUGAAUGUGAGUGUUAAUUGAAGCUAUUAUUGAUUUUCCGAUGGUUUUUUAAAGACUGAAAAGCAAAAUUGAAGUAAUUACUGAUCAAAUUCAGUUCUAGAAAGCAAGAGAAUUACAAAAUCUAGAUCAAGGUUACAAUGACAAUGAUUAUCAGAAGAAAAUGCAAACUGUCGCGAGUGUUUGCACGAUAGAAAGAGGAUACAGAGGAAGAGAACGUGGUUGAGAAUACUUUUGAAGGUGGGGUAGGAUUGAGGCGUGAUUAGGAAGGGGAAUUUGUUUCUACUUGCUUGAGAUAAAAGGGGAGGGAAAAUGAGGAGGAAAAUCGAAUUUAGGGCUCGGAUUUUUGCUUUUGCUUCUCAAUAAGACAAAAUAUUUUUAAAAAAUUAUCUAAACAUAUUCUUAAUCAUAGAAGUAACUUUUAACUUUUCAAAAGUCUUGUUAAAACGAGUCCUUAAUGUCAUUUAACUUACGAUUGAAUUUUGCAAAAAUGUUUAAUUCAAACUGCAACAAACUCAAUUUAAUGUUCAUUUUCUAACUGAACAUUCUAAAAAGUAGAGGUAAAAUUGAAAUCUAAUCUGUCUUAAACAUGUUGCUGUGAAAUAGUCAAUUGGUUUCAAAAUUUUACAACAAACUGGGAGAUCUUGCUGUGAAAGGUUGAUGAAGAACAAGGAAAAACCAGCAACAAGAUCCACUAAAAUGGAAGGUAUUCCAACAGACCUUUCAUAUCAAAACAAUGAAAUCCACUUACUCUUGGCAUUACAAUUCGGUAGAUCUUCAAACAACGACAGCGAAAGCUAUUUUUGAGCAACACCAAUAUCGAACAGAAUAAGGCCGGACUUCGGAUCAUCGAUAACAAUGUCCCUAACCGGAAGCCAUAAAAAGAGCUCUUCCUGUGAGAAUCCCUCGACUCCGGUGAGACUGCCGUAAGUAAAAUUUUCCCGAACAACACUCUCAUAAAACGCCAUCGUAUCAAACCUAUAAGAUAGUCCCUUUCCAAUAAUAUAUUUAAUUGUAAGGGGACAAGCUUAUGGAUGAUACACAUUGUGCAUGACAUUGACAUACAAAUGGAUCCAUGAUGACAAUUUUUAUCAAUAAUAGAGCACAAAUAGGAGAGAAAAGGUCUUAAAUCUCACCUCCACAAUAUCACCUUCUUUGGCAACAAUCCAACAUACAUUUUCAGAAGUAAGAGUUUAAGCAUUUAGCAUCAUACUGAUUGCAGCAGACAACUGAGAUGUGAUGCAUAGUUUAUCAUAAUAUAAAGAGGAAAUAGUUAGUAGAUUUAAAAAUACUGGCUAGACCAAUUCUUUCAAAUCAUGAAUGCAAAAAUAUUUUUAGAUAUCUACUGAUUCAUGCUCUAAAUUUUUUGAUUUUCUUUUUGUCGUUUGUGAUUUCUGCUUUUUCUCCUAGCUAGUUGCUUUUUCUUUUCAUCAUUUUUACAGCCUGCUCGACUCCCCUAAGUUUUCAGUAGCUUAAAUUCAUCCAAAAUAUUUGUUUUUUUAUUGGCUUUUUUCCUUUUCUAAUCUAGUUAAGCUUGUGGUUCUCUGAUCUAGUAACAUUCAUGUUUUAACUAAAUUGAAGUUUUAUAAUUUAUCAAAUACUUGUUAUUUCUUUCAUUUUAAUCCAUCAUAUACUUGUUAUUUCCUUACAUGUUUUUUUUUGCUAUGCUAGAGCAUCGUUGACGGAAUUCAAAAAUUGAGAUUAGCUUACCACCGGUUCAGAAAACGGGAUCAUUCUUAAGGGUGUAAUUCCACAAUUUUCGUCAAAAUUUUACUUAUCAGGUAAGCAAUGGCUUACCCUAAGUUGUUAUUGAAGAAAUUGGAAAUGCUUGAAGCUUGGUCGGCUUAUAUAAUUGCAGCCUGGUCGGCUUAGAUGAUUGCUUAUUGUAGGAUGAACAAUUGCACAGGCGCACGUAGUAACUAUAUUGGAAACUAUAAUUGUGAGAUGAUUGAGUUAUUUAGUAAUUGUUUUUUAGGCUACUCAUUGGACAUUACUAUACCUCCUAAAUACAAGUCUGGUGUUCAAAAAAGGAAAAGAAAACGAAGUGAAAUUGCAUUAAUUCAAAGUCAAGCAGAUGAUAUUAACAAGUACUUCAAAAGUGACAAUGUGAAUGCGUUAACUGAGGAUGAAGUAGAGAUUAAACCUGCCCAUGUUAAUGAAGUGGAUGAUAAGGAUGAAGAAGUGAGUCAACCUACCGAUGUUAACGAAGUAGAUGAUAAGGAAGAAGAAGUGAUGAAGCCCACCUCUAAUAAUGAAGAAGAUGAUAAGGAAGAAGAGGGUUGCUUUUCUCUAAAUUUGGAUGAUCCCGGAAAUUGGAAAAUUAUUAAUCAAAGAAUAAGGGAUUACUUAGUUGAAAGGGGUCCAAAAAGAGUUGAUGACAUCUCAUUUCCGAAAGAAUAUACAAAUAGACAUUUCGAUUCUUCACAAUAUAAGCGAUUGCUACCAAAUGGGAAAACAGUUGAUAGAAGAAGACUAGUAUAUUCAGUAUCUAUGGACAGGAUCUUCUGCUUUUGUUGCAAGUUGUUUAAAACACCAAUAAAUGUGACAAAAGUUGGCCAACUAGGUAAUGAUGGAUUCAAAGAUUGGCAUAAUUUACAUCGGUCUAUUAAAAGUCAUGAAGGAAAUGAGGAGCAUUUACGUUGCAUGACUAGUUGGAUUGAAUUGGAAAAUAGGUUUCGAUCAAAAACUACAAUUGAUAAAAGUAUUGAAUUAUUGAUUGAUGCUGAAAGAGAACAUUGGAGACAUGUAUUAACAAGGAUAAUCGCUAUUGUUAAAAAACUUGCGAAAAACGCAUUGCCAUUUCGAGGAGAUGAUGAGAGGCUACAUGUUGAGAACAAUGGCCUAUUUUUACAAAUGGUUGAAAUGGUUAGUGAAUUUGAUCCAGUAAUGUAAGAGCACCUUCGGCGGGCUGAAGCAAAAGAGAUUCAAUAUACGUAUCUUGGCAAAAAAAUUCAAAAUGAGUUGAUACAGUUGUUGGCUAAUCAAGUGAGAAGUUCAGUUGUCAAGAAAGUUAAAGAUGUAAAAUGUUUCGCAGUUAUACUUUAUUGUACUCCAGAUGCAAGUCAGGAGGAGCAAAUGUCUUUAAUUGUAGGAUUUGUAGAUAAUUCGGCAAACUUACCUACAGUUCAAGAACAUUGGCUAGAAUUUUUGAAAGUAGAUGACACAACAGGACUUGGACUUGCAACCGAGCUUCAAAAAGCUUCGAUAAAAAUUGAUCUCGAUAUUGAUGACAUUAGAGGGCAAAGGUAUGACAACGGAUCUAACAUGAGCGGGAAGCACAAAGGUGUGCAAAGAAGAGUCCAUGAAAUGAAUCCCCGAGCUUUCUAUUCUCCAUGUGGCGCUUAUAGUCUAAAUCUAGCAUUAUGUGAUAUGGUGAACUGUUGUUCCAAAGCUGUAUCUUUCUUCGGAGUGAUACAACGCAUCUACACAUUAUUUUUCUCUUCUACCAAGCGAUGGAAAAUUUUCAAAGAUAAUGUACAAGGAUUGAAAGUGAAGCCAUUAUCACAAACACGUUGGAAAAGUUAUGUUGAAAGUGUGAAACCUAUAAUGGAGCAAACUGCGCAGAUAAGAGAUGCAUUACUUGGUUUAGCAUAAAGUAAUGAAGAUCCUAAAGUGAAGAGUGAAGCCGAGUCAUUAGCAACACAUGAACUUCAAAAUUUUGAGUUUUUGUUUGACAUGAUAAUCUGGUAGAGAUUGUUGCAUGCUGUCAAUAUUGUGAGUAAAUUUCUUCAAAUCGAAUCCAUGAAUAUUGAUCAUGCUAUCGACCUCUUGCAAGGGCUUGUUUCAUUUCUUGAAGAAUACAGAGAAAUUGGAUUUGCUAUUGCCAAAGAUGAAGCGACAAAAAAGGCAAACGAAAUAGGAAUUGAAGCUGUAUUUACAGAAAAACGCAUAAUUCGAAGGAAAAAACAAUUUGAUGAAAGCAGUAGUGAUGAGGUAAAACAAUCAGUAGAAGAAUCUUUUAGAGUUGAGUACUUUAUUUUUAUAAUUGAUCAAGCUCUAUCUUCUAUGAAGACCCGAUUUGAACAAUUCAAACAAUAUGAUGACACAUUUGGAUUUUUGUUUAGUUUGAAGAGGUUAAGGGGUGCAACUUUUUCACGUUUGUUGAAAUUUUGUUUGAAUCUUGAGAAAUAUCUUCAACAUAAUGGGCGUUCGGAUAUCAGUGGGGAUGAUUUAUGUUCGAAGUUACAAGUCUUGAGAUGUUAUAUACCAAGUGAAGCAAGAAGAGCAAUUGAAGUGCUACAAUAUUUGAAGACAUUGGAUGUUUGUUUUCUAAAUGCUUAUACUGCUUACCAAAUUUUAUUAACCAUACCGGUUACAGUUGUAUCUGCGGAAAGAAGUUUCUCAAAAUUAAAGUUGAUCAAGACCUAUCUUCGAUCAACUAUGUCGCAAGAAAGAUUAAACGGGUUGACUAUGUUAUCAAUAGAAAAAGAAAUGGUUGAGCAGCUAAAUUAUUCAGAUUUGAUUGAUGUUUUUGCCUCUAAAAUAGCAAGACGAAUGGUAUUUAACUAAUUGUUUGAAAUUUUUGGUUUGAUGGUUUAUAAUAUAAAUCAUUUCUAUGAUAUAUUUCGUUGUUAUUUUAAUGUUAGUUUUUUAAGUUAGCAAUAAGUCACAUAAUACACCUUUGAAUUUUGUCGCUGGGGGGCCUACUUCUCAUCGUCCGCCUGAGGGCCCAUAAGACACAGGACCGGCUCUGCAUGUAACCUAUUGUGUUAUGUCCACCUCCACCAACAACCACCUCCACUAUAGUCAUGCCAUCCAAACUCAUCUCACCACAUUAUCAUCACUCCAUCUCGCUGCCAUCAUCAUGACCAUCUCCAUCAUCCAAAAACACUGCAAAAUCGACAUCGCCACCACCAUUGAUGGUGCCUAUUUCCUCUACCAAAAAAAAAAAAAAAAAUCACAAUUUGCCACUGCUGCCAUUUUUGUGAAUUAAUUAAAUAAAUGCUCAUUAAAUUUCUCUCUAGGUUAUUACUUACUAUCUGAGCUAAAAAAAUAAAUAAAUAAAUAGUUAUUCAUUGCUCACUCAUGCAUUCAAAUUAUUACACAUCUAUCACAGAGUGAAAUCUAUUACUUCCACUUGAAGGAAAUUUCUACGUGUUUACACAAAUCGGAGGUGACACAGUGAUAACAUUAAAUUGUCAAAUUAAUUAACUAAAUGCUCAUUAAACUCAUCCCUAAAUGAUAAUUGCUCAUUAAUCAAGACAUAAAUAAGGCAUACUAGAGAGUUUAUAUAUUUAAAGGAAUGAAAAACGCAAAACUCCGGGUCUAAGAUAAGUGAAAAAUUAAUAGCUAAAGAUAUGUAAAAUUAUAAAAUUUGAAGCAUAAUUUAUAAAUAUUAAUAGCUAAAGAUAUUUAAACAUAUGACAAGGGUAAGGCUAAUUAUAAAAUUUGAAGCAUAAUUUAUAAAUUCUUAGCGAGCAGGUUAACUAUUUUUAUCUUUUUUCUCCGGUGUGCAUGUAUGGGCCAAAAUCUAGUCGAAAGUGUUCAAAAUUUAUGUUAAUAUAAUUAAGUACGUAUUAUCGUGGGCAAAUAUGAUUACAAAUCAACAAAACAUCCAGAAAAUGACUAAUACCAAAUGUAUGAUAUCAAGGACACAGUAGUGCCUUUGGAGAAAAAUAAUUAAAAGUAAUAUUUACUGAUAAUUUAAUUGAUAAAUUAAAACUUUGGUAGGUUUUGAUUUUGGUUGGUAUGUUAGCAUAAAAAAAUUAUAAUGUGUUCCACCACCAAACAAAAAUCUUUAAUAAAUUAUAUAUUACUUAACUGAAACGUGUAUUUCUUACUUUCUCUGAAGGCAAGUUAUAGGUUAAUUAUCACGACGGUCACUAAACUUUUAUCAUUGCUUCUCGUUAGUCACUGAACUUAUUUCCUAUUUUCUAUAUUUCUGACAAUAUAAGAGUCUUAAAAUUGGUCCCCCCCCCCCCCCCCCCACUAACUAUGUUUAUUUUUCACAAAUACUCCAAAUAUUACACUUUUAAUAAUAACUUCUACAAAAUAUAAUAUGUAUAUUACAAUUUGUUAUACAAUUAAUUAUUAUAACACUUAUAACUUAGUGUGUUAUAAAUGUAAAACUUAGCAUACUAAAAAAUGUUGAAUCAAAACCUUGAGGGUUCCCACCGUUCCGUCCCUGGAGUAUCGUGAGAGAGGUAAAUCACGGGAUGUGCCUCAACAGGUUAGGGAACAAGAGUUUGCUUGUACACUGGUAUCCACAAAGAGUACAAUAUCAUAUUUCAGGAAUCGAACCCUCACAUUGCGGCUGCUGGCAAAGUUGAGACUACCUCACUCCCAUCCUUUGCACCACUGAGAUAUGCUCCAGGAGGCAAAACUUAACAUACUAUGUUAUACAUGAAAUAUACGGUAACCUAUUGUGUUAUGUCCACCUCUACCAACAACCACCUUCACUAUAGUCAUGCCAUCCAAACUCAUCUCACCACAUCAUCAUCACUCCGUCUCGCUGCCAUCAUCACACCAUCACCAUCAUCCAAAAACACUACAAAAUUGACAUCACCACCACCUCAAAAGCACCACCAUUGAUGGUGCCUAUUUCCUCUACCAAAAAAAUCACAAUUUGCCACUGCAGCUAUUUUUGUAAAUUAAUUAAAUAAAUGCUCAUUAAAUUUCUCUAUAGGUCAUUACUUACUAUCUGAGCUUAAAAAAAAUAAAAAUAAAUUGUUACUUAUUGCUCACUCAUAUAUUCAACGGGGCAACUUUUUGCUCCGUUUGUUGCUUCGUUUAAUUUUUUUAUUUUUUAUUUUUACAUUUUCAAAGUUUCGAAUUAUGUUAUUAUUAGAUAAUAAAAUACAAAUUUAAAAUGAGUUUUUAACGGAUGAAUUGUCUAGAAAUAAAAUUAUUUUUAAUUAAUUUUUUUUUUUUUACUUUUUCUUCAUGAGGCCCGCGAUGAGGUGACCAUUUACGCCCCGCCCCACGCCUCGCGACGGGGCGAGUUUUUUUGCCCCAUUCGUGACGGGACGGGGUAAAUUGCCAUCACUACAUCACGGAGUGAAAUCUAUUACUUCCACUUGAAGGAAAUUUCGACGUGUUUACAGAAAUUAGAGAUGACACAGUGAUAACAUUAAAUUGUCAAAUUAAUUAAUUAAUUAAAUGCUCAUUAAACUUAUCCCUAAAUGAUAAUUGCUCAUUAAUCAAGACAUAAAUAAGACAUACUAGAGAGUUUAUAUAUUUAAAGGAAUGAAAAAAAAAACGUAGAGCUCUGGGUUUAAUAUAAGUGAAAAAUUAAUAGCUAAAGAUCUAAUUUCAUAAUAAUUUGUAAGCAUUGAUUAAGCUAAUUUUUGAAAUUAUUCUUGACUCUUCAAAAGAAAAUGAAGAGACAAAGAAAUGUGAGAUAUUAGUAAAAGAUAUUGCAAGAUAAUGCUUCUAUGUUUACGUACAAAUCAUAGCACUUCCAUAGUGAAAAUUGUACGAUAUUGAUGUUGAAAAAAUGACUUUGUUGAGCUAAUGUUAGCACAAUUUUAGGUGGGGUCCGUUGGUUCAAUUUGGAAUAUCAAAGUUGAUUUAUGUUCUCCUUUGUGAGAAUAUCGAAAUUAUAUUAACUUGUCAAAAUUGAUGCUCAGAUGAAUGAGAAAUUGGAGUUCAAAUUGGACCGUUGGAAUAUGGAUAUAUGUGUUGGAGGAAAACCAAUUAAAGUUUAUCCCACAUAAAAAAAAGAUGAAAGAAAAUACAACUUUAUAUAAGGCUAUACUUUGGAAGUGUUUAAUCAUGUGUAGCAUUGAGGUGCUUUCCAUGUGCUUGCGCAUGGGGGUGCAAAUCAAGGACUAAAUUAGAAUUUUGGAUCUUGAACUUGCGUGCUAACAUGACCAGCUUACAUGAAUGUCGGACAGAACGGACCAAAAAUUGGCCCCAUGGGAGUGUCCACAUUUUUAUUUUUAAGGACACUGUGUUACAGGCCUCGGUUUGCUGGUUUCUUCCCUUCUGUUUGUAAUUUUCUAUUAUGCUCUUCCAGUAUAUAAAUAAUAUAUUAUAUUCUGCUAUUAUUUGGCUAACAAUUGAAGUCUCGAGUAUUAAAAUUUAGCAUAUCACAUUCAUGCUUAUAAGACUUGUAUUUGGACAUCCCUAAAGGUCGUAUGGGUUUGAGUCUAACCGAUUGGUUGUAUAUUGUGAUUAGAAAUAAACACUUCUUAUUCCAAAAUAUAUUUUCCAACUAUGAUGCACUCAUUUUUAGCUACUGAUUCAUGAUGAGAAUUAAGGUUCAAAUGCUUGUUUAUUGCUUAAUCAUGAAGGCAUAAGAAAAGGAUUUUGGUUCUUUAAUAGGAAUGGCAAUGGUGCGCAUAUGGUAUGAGUCGGCCAUUCCCACCCCUAUUUUGUUGGGUAUUUUGUUAUUUUACCCUAUAUUCAUACCCGAUUAAAGCGGGAUGGGAUCAAGGCAGGUCACCUGCCCCAUUUAUCGCCUCAUUUAUUUUUUCUUUUUAUUUUUUGCUUUUAUUUUUUUGUCCUUUGUUAGUAAAUAUCAUUACUUUUUUACCAAUUUGUUAAAACAACUUAUGUUCACUUUAAAAAAUGAUGAUAAAUCUAUUACUUUUGUUGGAUAAAAACUUAAAUUUAAAAUUAACUUUAAACGGGACAAUGACUCCCGUCCUGUACCCGUCCCAUUUACCCGGUUAGACAGGGCUCCAAGGGUAUCAGGUUGAAUAGAUUAUUUUGGUGUCCCUAAUCUUUAACUUCGGAUGGUUGUAUAUAUUUUUCGAAUACUUGCGCUCGCAUCCAAGAUCAAGAAUGCAGUGGUUGCUGAAGGCUCGACACCAUUUAUCUUUGGUGUCUAAUAUUUCUACACCAUGAGGACUAUUAGUAAUUUGGUGGUACUUAUGAACCUCACGUAGUUAUUCAUAUGUUUGAGAAGCAUAAAUGUAGGAAUGAGGCCGACGUGAGUGUUCGCUAAAAGUGCUUGUCGCAAGUGCACGGAUCAGAUUCAAGUAAUAAAGUGAACAUUUUGAGUCCGGAUUGUGAUCUCUCGAUGAAUGUUUACUUUAGAUUACACAAUUUUAAUUAAUUUAAUUCUAACAAUAAAACAAACGCACAAUAAAUAUUUGAUUAUGGAAAAUAACUAAAAAUCUACAAAAUAAUAAAAAUCUUGGGAAUUUUGGAAGCAAACGUGGUCGGGAUUCAUGGUUUCGUUUAACCGUCAUCUAAUUAAUUUCUCUAAAAACCAGUUAACAAAUUACUCAUUUAUGAUGUUGGACACAAUCUUCCAAUUUUAGUUAAUUACCUCUCUCGAGGGAAAUUAACUCUAAUUGAUUGGUUUAACCUACUAUAUCUUUAUAUCGAUUAAAACCAAACAACCGUAUUAACUCUAUGUGAAAAUAGUUCAUUGGGUCACCUAGGGUUAAGGGUAUGUCUCUAUCCCCCACACAAAUCUAAGGUUUCUACUAUUUGAUUUAAAAUGCACAAUCUUUUCUCGAACGAUGUACAAAUCAUAAAAUAUAACCAUUCAUUAUUCACGUAAAUGAAAAUGCAACAAUAACAAUAGUAAAAACACAUGAAAAUAAGUAACUUAACAUUAAAGAGUAAAUAUUAAAAUUAAUUAAAAACUAGAUUAAGUUAAUGUCAUAAAUCUCAACACAAAUGUUUAGCCCAUGUUAUAUAAAUGGUAAAUUUCAUACAUUACAUUGCAAGUUCGAGAAAAUAAUGGAGAAAAUGCAAAGUUAUAGAUGAAACCAUUUUAGAGCUCGAUCUUGCUUUCCCCAAAUAUUUUUCCACUCUUUCUUGAUGUUCUGCUUUUUCCAUUGAUUGUGUCCUCCAAAAUAUCAAGGAAACAAAAAUGAAAAAGAAAAGAAAAUGAAAAAAUGAGAAAAAUAAAGAAGAAAGAAAAGAAAAAGAUAUAAAAAGAAGGCGCUCCAGCCCGAAAGAAGCAGAAUCCAGAAAAUCCCCGUCUCGUCUUUUUACAAUUCAUUAAAACCCUUUUCAGAAAAUUGCAAUACAAGUCCCCAGAAUUUUGGACAAAAGGCAAAAAGGUCUCGAGCCUUAUUUUGAUUUUGAAAAUGCCUUUUGUGUGUGUGUGUGUGUGUGUNNNNNNNNNNNNNNNNNNNNNNNNNNNNNNNNNNNNNNNNNNNNNNNNNNNNNNNNNGGGGGGGGGGGGGGACUGAUUGUUGUCAUUUAUGCAGUUAAGUCUCUGAGAUAAUUUCAUGGCAGGUCCCUCAACUUUGAUUUUGUACAAUUUGGUCCUCAAAAUUUGACUUUUCUUUAAAUUUUGCCCCAAAACUGCAAGCCCAUGUCCUCGAACUUUUCUUACUUGUGCACUUUGGUCACUGAAUUUACGUUUUUGUACUCUUUUGAUCCCUUUUUUCACUCCAUUUUGCUUUGUUCUCUUUUCUUGGAUGAUUUUUACCUACAAAAAUAAUAAUUACAUAAUUUUGAAUAAAAAUUCGCUCAUUUAAUCAAUAUUUAAACUUAUUUAGAUAUUAAAUGUGUAUGCAAAAAUACGCUUAUCAAAUUCCCUAAAAUUUAAGCUCUUGCUCAUCCCUUGCAAGAUUGUGUACUAACAUAAUCAUGUAAAAUGAGAUAAAGAUCAACACAUUAGAUAACUUGUCAUCAAUGAGUGUAAAAUUUUAUAAUCAAUUCACAAAUAUGUUCCAAGUAAUAGUAUCAUAAAUAAUUUGAGCUUAUCUGAUGUUCAAUCAGUUUGUGUGUGCGCGCGCAUAAUUACUUUUAAUUGUCAUUUAAAUUAGAAAGAGUUACUGGAGUUUGUGAUUUAAGUUAAUAUUGAUGUAUUGUUUCUCUUGUCCUUAUUGUUGGUUAGUUAUAUAUUUGGUUCCUAAUUCAUAAUUUUGUGAUCUCUAAAUACAUUUUGUUUUCUUUUAACAAGGAAGACAAUAAAUUCUUUGGUUUGAUUUGCGGCGUUUGAUUUGCUUGAGGGACAAGGAAGACAAUAAAUUCUCAGCUAUGCAUGCUUGUGCUGGUCCAUUGGUUUCUUGGCCUCGCGUUGGAAGUCUAGUGCAAGGAGCACAAAUUUGGUUAAAAUCAGCCGCGUAUCUAAUUCACGAGGAUGCAGAGAUGUAUUUUUUAGGUACAUAAUAAUAG
rnacentral:lncRNA from 1 species